rnacentral:rRNA from 1 species
CCCAUAAGCGUGCGCAUAAAUACCGCCAGCGAAACGUUUAAAAUGCCAAGAGGCCAUAAAAACCUAGCAAACGUUAAACUGCAAGUCAGCGAUAUCCCAUAGGGAACUAGACGGCCACGGGCAAUAACGCGUAGAAUACUUCCCUAAGACAAAAAGCCCCGGAAAUCGGGACAAUACGGGCCGUAUAUAGAUAUAAAGACCCUUACAAAGUAACGGCGCCAAAAAAGGACUGCGCCCGAUAUCUAGUUGGUAGGGUAACGGCCUACCAAGGCUACCAUUAGUAGGGGGCGUGAGAGCGUGCCCCCCCACACGGGUACUGAAACACGGACCCGACUCCUACGGGAGGCAGCAAUAAGGAAUAUUGGUCAAUGGACGAAAGUCUGAACCAGCCAUCCCGCGUGCAGGAUGGAGGUCCUAUGGAUUGUAAACUGCUUUUAACAGAAAAAAAAAGCAUCCUUUUAAGGGUGUCUGACGGUAUCUGCGGAAUAAGCACCGGCUAACUCCGUGCCAGCAGCCGCGGUAAUACGGAGGGUGCAAGCGUUAUCCGGACUCACUGGGUUUAAAGGGUGCGUACGCAGAAUAUUAAGUCAGUGGUGAAAGCCUGUCGCUUAACGAUAGAACUGCCAUUGAUACUGAUAUUCUUGAAUUGGGGUUGAGGUUAGCGGAAUGUGACAUGUAGCGGUGAAAUGCAUAGAUAUGUCAUGAACACCAAUUGCGAACGCAGCUAGCUGGGCCUUGAUUGACGCUGACGCACGAAAGCGUGGGUAGCGAACAGGAUUAGAUACCCCUGGUAGUCCACGCCCUAAACGAUGCUUAACUUCGAUGUUUGGAACUUUAGGGUUUGAGCAUCCAAGGAAAACCGAUUAGUUCAGCCCACCCUGGGGGAGUACCGACCCGCGAGGAUGAUACUCAAAGGUAUUUGGACGGGUGCGUUCAGCACAGCGGUAGCAACAUGGUGGUUUAAGUCCGAAUGGAAUACCGCCGAGAGAAACCCU